rnacentral:rRNA from 1 species
CCUACGGGUGGCAGCAGUGGGGAAUAUUGGACAAUGGGGGGAACCCUGAUCCAGCCAUGCCGCGUGUGUGAAGAAGGCCCUCGGGUUGUAAAGCACUUUCAGUGAGGAAGAACGCCUGGUGGUUAAUACCCAUCAGGAAAGACAUCACUCACAGAAGAAGCACCGGCUAACUCCGUGCCAGCAGCCGCGGUAAUACGGAGGGUACGAGCGUUAAUCGGAAUUACUGGGCGUAAAGCGCGCGUAGGUGGCUUGAUAAGCCGGUUGUGAAAGCCCCGGGCUCAACCUGGGAACGGCAUCCGGAACUGUCAAGCUAGAGUGCAGGAGAGGAAGGUAGAAUUCCCGGUGUAGCGGUGAAAUGCGUAGAGAUCGGGAGGAAUACCAGUGGCGAAGGCGGCCUUCUGGACUGACACUGACACUGAGGUGCGAAAGCGUGGGUAGCAAACAGGAUUAGAUACCCUUGUAGUC